CCUACGGGUGGCAGCAGUGGGGAAUAUUGGGCAAUGGGCGAAAGCCUGACCCAGCAACGCCGCGUGAAGGAAGAAGGCUUUCGGGUUGUAAACUUCUUUUGACAGGGAAGAGCAGAAGACGGUACCUGUCGAAUAAGCCACGGCUAACUACGUGCCAGCAGCCGCGGUAAUACGUAGGUGGCAAGCGUUGUCCGGAUUUACUGGGUGUAAAGGGCGUGUAGCCGGGCUGACAAGUCAGAUGUGAAAUCCGGGGGCUCAACCCCCGAACUGCAUUUGAAACUGUUGGUCUUGAGUAUCGGAGAGGCAGGCGGAAUUCCUAGUGUAGCGGUGAAAUGCGUAGAUAUCAUGAAGAACUCCGAUCGCGAAGGCAAGUGUCCGGGGUGCAACUGACGCUGAGGCUCGAAAGUGCGGGUAUCAAACAGGAUUAGAUACCCGAGUAGUC
rnacentral:rRNA from 1 species